rnacentral:rRNA from 1 species
UACGUAGGGUGCAAGCGUUAAUCGGAAUUACUGGGCGUAAAGCGUGCGCAGGCGGUUGUGCAAGACCGAUGUGAAAAUCCCCCGGGCUCAACCUGGGAAUGGCAUUGGUGACUGCACGGCUAGAGUGUGUCAGAGGGGGGUAGAAUUCCACGUGUAGCAGUGAAAUGCGUAGAGAUGUGGAGGAAUACCGAUGGCGAAGGCAGCCCCCUGGGAUAACACUGACGCUCAUGCACGAAAGCGUGGGGAGCAAACAGG